GUACUGGAUUUUAAAUAAAUUCACAAGUCCUAUGUAUAGACAAUUUAAUACUCAUGAAUUCAUUCAAGAAAUACGAUAGACAUGCUCAUGAAGGAAGUAACAUCUUAUAGAAAAUAUAGUAUGUGAUCUACUUGCAGUUAAGUAAAGUGAUAAGUUGAAUACCUCUGAGACUUGACAUUUCAGUUGAUGUACCUUUCUUGUACUGAUCAAGUCCAGUGGUUGUUGGCAUAAGUCUUGGCAGGUCUAGAAUCUUCCAAAAUGCGCAUAUUCAAAAGAUCAUUGACUUUACUUUUAUUGCCAUCAUUCUUUAGGCUAACUAGUAGACCAUGAAGAAUUGCAACUUUCCAACAAACUCAUCAUAUCACUAAUCUGCAUUCACUUAGCAAUUAUCUUGCACAAGUGACGUUAGUCCACAUAUAAUAUAAUCAUG
rnacentral:lncRNA from 1 species